GCGCCGGUAGUGUAAGGCGCAGCAUCCCUGUCCGGAAAGCAGAAGGUGCGGGUUCAAGUCCUGCCUGGCGCA
rfam:Heligmosomoides polygyrus genome assembly, scaffold: HPBE_scaffold0002765